AGUCGAGCGGAAACGAGUUAUCUGAACCUUCGGGGAACGAUAACGGCGUCGAGCGGCGGACGGGUGAGUAAUGCCUAGGAAAUUGCCCUGAUGUGGGGGAUAACCAUUGGAAACGAUGGCUAAUACCGCAUGAUGCCUACGGGCCAAAGAGGGGGACCUUCGGGCCUCUCGCGUCAGGAUAUGCCUAGGUGGGAUUAGCUAGUUGGUGAGGUAAGGGCUCACCAAGGCGACGAUCCCUAGCUGGUCUGAGAGGAUGAUCAGCCACACUGGAACUGAGACACGGUCCAGACUCCUACGGGAGGCAGCAGUGGGGAAUAUUGCACAAUGGGCGCAAGCCUGAUGCAGCCAUGCCGCGUGUGUGAAGAAGGCCUUCGGGUUGUAAAGCACUUUCAGUCGUGAGGAAGGUGGUGUAGUUAAUAGCUGCAUUAUUUGACGUUAGCGACAGAAGAAGCACCGGCUAACUCCGUGCCAGCAGCCGCGGUAAUACGRAGGGUGCGAGCGUUAAUCGGAAUUACUGGGCGUAAAGCGCAUGCAGGUGGUUUGUUAAGUCAGAUGUGAAAGCCCGGGGCUCAACCUCGGAAUAGCAUUUGAAACUGGCAGACUAGAGUACUGUAGAGGGGGGUAGAAUUUCAGGUGUAGCGGUGAAAUGCGUAGAGAUCUGAAGGAAUACCGGUGGCGAAGGCGGCCCCCUGGACAGAUACUGACACUCAGAUGCGAAAGCGUGGGGAGCAAACAGGAUUAGAUACCCUGGUAGUCCACGCCGUAAACGAUGUCUACUUGGAGGUUGUGGCCUUGAGCCGUGGCUUUCGGAGCUAACGCGUUAAGUAGACCGCCUGGGGAGUACGGUCGCAAGAUUAAAACUCAAAUGAAUUGACGGGGGCCCGCACAAGCGGUGGAGCAUGUGGUUUAAUUCGAUGCAACGCGAAGAACCUUACCUACUCUUGACAUCCAGAGAACUUUCCAGAGAUGGAUUGGUGCCUUCGGGAACUCUGAGACAGGUGCUGCAUGGCUGUCGUCAGCUCGUGUUGUGAAAUGUUGGGUUAAGUCCCGCAACGAGCGCAACCCUUAUCCUUGUUUGCCAGCGAGUAAUGUCGGGAACUCCAGGGAGACUGCCGGUGAUAAACCGGAGGAAGGUGGGGACGACGUCAAGUCAUCAUGGCCCUUACGAGUAGGGCUACACACGUGCUACAAUGGCGCAUACAGAGGGCGGCCAACUUGCGAAAGUGAGCGAAUCCCAAAAAGUGCGUCGUAGUCCGGAUUGGAGUCUGCAACUCGACUCCAUGAAGUCGGAAUCGCUAGUAAUCGUGGAUCAGAAUGCCACGGUGAAUACGUUCCCGGGCCUUGUACACACCGCCCGUCACACCAUGGGAGUGGGCUGCAAAAGAAGUAGGUAGUUUAACCUUCGGGCGGACGCUCAC
rnacentral:rRNA from 1 species